GCUGCCGCUGCUGCUGCUGCUGAUGCUGUUGAUGCUGCUGCUGCUGAUGCUGCUGCUGCUGAUGCUGCUGCUGCUGAUGCUGCUGCUGC
rnacentral:sRNA from 1 species